rnacentral:rRNA from 1 species
AUGUUCCUAUCACCAGGCCAACAAGAACCAUACCGGAACAGGAAGCAAACGCUCUCACAAAAUGUCAUGGUUGCUUGUGACUUCGACUUAAAAUUUGUGCAUGUACAUGCUGGGUGGGAAGGAUCAGCUUCUGAUGCAAGAGUUCUACAAGAUGCACUAAAUCAUGGUUUUCAUGUACCUCAUGGUAAAUUUUACCUUGUUGAUGCUGGUUAUGCAAACACACCCCAAUUUCUUGCUCCAUACCGUGGUACUAGGUAUCAUCUAAAAGAACAAGGAGAAGCACGUCAAAGGCCACAAAAUUACAAGGAAUUGUUCAACCUUCGUCAUGCUCAACUUCGGAAUCAUAUAGAGAGAAUUAUCGGCAUACUAAAAAUGAGAUUUCCUAUCCUGAAAGUUGCUGCACAUUAUUCAGUUGAUAAACAAAUUGACAUAUCUGUGGCUUGUUGUGUUCUGCACAAUUUCAUACGCCUACACAAAGGAGAUAUGGAGUGGCCCAAAGAUGCUCCCAUGGAGAUUGACCCGAACCAGAUUGUUGAUGUGCCAAAUGGAGACCACGACUAUCAUGGUGAUAUACAUGCAUUUAAUUAUUCCAGACAAGCAGGAAAUCAAAUGCGAGAUCAUAUUGCACAAGGAAUGUGGAACCAGUAUGUAUCACGCAGAGCUUGA